GCCUGGGUGGCGGAAAUGGUAGACGCAAGGGACUUAAAAUCCCUCGCUCCUAAGUGAGUGUACGAGUUCGAUUCUCGUCCCAGGCACCA
rnacentral:tRNA from 1 species